ACGAGAGUUACUAGUACCUACUUACUACUUUCCGUCGCUCUUGAUUUUUGAAUUAAUGGAAAUAUUCGAUGUUUCGGACUGGGAAUGACCAUAUAGCAAAAUAUUGAAGCAUUCUACUAUAUCUGGAGUUUCCCGAAUGUAAAGGCGAGUCAUCUCUUCCCAAAAUUCAUCCGAUGGAUAAAUUUCGCAUCACUAAGAAUAUUCGUGACUAUUCGGAUUAAUGCCACGGUCCAUGGCCCUGAAUAAGCAGUUUCGGUGGAGGUCUAAGCCGUGCCACAUCCAGCGAGGCAAGAAGGAUUCAGUGUCGUCAUUGGUUGAAGACGCAGUUCCUGGGUUAGGCUUCUGUGCAUCUAUCUUCUGCAGGGAUUGGUCGACUGGUCCAUCGCUCAGUUGCUUUGUCGCCCAAGUGAGCAGGGCAGUCAAGAAGCCAAUUUGAAACGGCAACUACCUGGAGGACGACAAAGUGUUCUCAGGUGCAGAAGCAGAGGGGAUCGUACAACUUAAAAGCUGUUCAAGUGUUUCAAGUAAUACUGAGACCAGAGAUGAAGCAGCAUCGAACAACUUUUGUCGUUAUGUUGAAACAUUUGCAGGCCUUCUCUUUCAAGAGUGAUUUUUCAUAGCAGCUUUCAAACAUAUUUUAAAAUAAGGAAAGACUGAGACUUCUUAAUUACCAAUAUGUUUAUGUCACGUUCAGCUUAGAAUUAUUGUUCAUACUUCAGUUUUUAAGAGAUAAAAUCGUCACAUAAGUCUCACGCCCUGCAGAGGUAUAUACUGUACUAUCAUUACACAUAUAAGAAUAAUGAAAAUUAACUCUAGGCUGAAGAAUUGCGUGGAUUAUUGUGUUUGUGCCUAUGAAUAUCAGUUUUUGUUCUUGCAUCACGUAUUCCUUAACAUGAACACGAGUUAUGGAGUUAUGUAUGCGGAUAAAAAUAUUGAAAGCUUUGUCGCUGGAUUGUACAAUGAAGAAUAGUUUAGAAGUAAUACCGGUAUUAAGGUAUCCCAU